UAAACUCUCUAAACAGUAACGACUGUCAAUCUGUUCCAUGGGAUGCCAAUGUGCACAGUAGGAGGGAAGUAGAGCACCUCUUAUCUACAAGCAAUACGUACUGUGCAGGCAUUUCACCUCUUUAUUCUUCUGUAAUCACUGCAACCACCUAUGUUCACAGAUGUCAGUAUGGAAAUUCAUAAAGAACAUUCUUAUUCUUCACAUCCACUGUUAAGUGACCACCCUUUAUUUUGCAAUCAGAGAGUCGAGCUGGCAGAACUGAAGUGCCUUGGCAGCUGCAGAGAUGAAACUCAACUGAACAAACAGAUUCUUAAGUGAUGCUUAGAUGGAAGAACUUGGACAUGGUUCAGAUUUCUUAAAAGUUCAUUUAAAUGUGUGAUUGAAUCCUGCUCAUUACCCUCUCGGCAGUAUAUUAUAUAUUCAACUAUUUUAUUGUAUAAUAAUAUAGAGGGUGGAAAAUAAAGGUACAGUAUUACCAACUCUUCUUAUUAUAGAAGAAGAGCAGCUUUGUUUAUGUCAUAAACAAUAGUCAAUAAAUGCAUGUAAGUUAAUUUUUCACAGCAAUCUAUACCCAGAACUUGAAAUAUGCUAUUUUGUUCUUUGGUCCAAAUAUCUUGAGACAAAUAAAUCCUUCUGUAUGGUAAUCAGA